AGAAAAUUGUCCCUCCUGUGAAUGUAAUUUGUUACGUAUAUACUAGUGGCCUAUGUAUAAAAUGCAUAAAAAAAAUUAUGAAAACCAUUGGGAUCGAUGUACGGUUCCGUAACCACGUGUAAACAUUGUGGCAUCCUGAGACGUUUUGUUACCGUUUUGUACGUCCUCAGAAAAAGAUUCAGGUGCGUGAAUUGUUAACGAGUCUUCAGAUUCAGGCUCUGAUUUUGAUGAAUAUGAUUCUGACAGCGAACAUUCAUUUGGUAGCCAGACGGAUGUAGUGAUGAUGAUACCAAAUCAACAAUGUUUGAAUUUGAAAAAGAAACAGAUUAUUCAAAUUCAUUUCCCUGGUUAGGGCUGGGCUUUACAAUGGGAUUUUCAGCUGUGGAGCUAUAAAGAAUUACUACAUAGGGUUUCCAAUGUAGCUUUGUGAUCAGAAUUCAGAAAUAAGAAGAGGAGAGACAAUGCAGAUGCAGCAUUAGCAUUACCAAUUACUUACCACUGCUAAGAAAAUGGUACAUACUUUGAGUACUACUUUUGUGUAUUUGGAGACAGUCCAGUUGUUCUUUAAACCAGAAGUGGAAAUUUCAGUGCUUGUUAAAUUUUCUCCAGAAGUUAUUGGAUGCUACAUAGGAAGAAAAUGGGGUCAUACUGAACAGAAUAGUUUGGAUACACCUUAUAGAUUUUGAAAGCUUGAGACCUCAAGAUCAACC